GACGAACGCUGGCGGCGUGCUUAACACAUGCAAGUCGAACGGCAAGGCCCUGCUUUUGUGGGGUGCUCGAGUGGCGAACGGGUGAGUAACACGUGAGUAACCUGCCCUUGACUUUGGGAUAACUUCAGGAAACUGGGGCUAAUACCGGAUAGGAGAUCCUGCUGCAUGGUGGGGGUGGGAAAGUUUCGGCGGUUGGGGAUGGACUCGCGGCUUAUCAGCUUGGUGGUGGGGUAGUGGCUUACCAAGGCUUUGAAGGGUAGCCGGCCUGCGAGGGUGACCGGCCACAUUGGGACUGAGAUACGGCCCAGACUCCUACGGGAGGCAGCAGUGGGGAAUAUUGCACAAUGGGCGGAAGCCUGAUGCAGCAACGCCGCGUGGGGGAUGACGGCCUUCGGGUUGUAAACCGCUUUCGCCUGUGACGAAGCGUGAGUGACGGUAAUGGGUAAAGAAGCACCGGCUAACUACGUG
rnacentral:rRNA from 1 species